AAGGUGUUGAUGGUUCUAAUAUAUCUAUAUAUGGUUUUUACCUUUUGAAGGCGGCCAGAUUGGUCUGAUUUCAAAGACGAAGACUAACUCAGGAAGCUGGCAAGAAGUUUGCAUUUGGGAAAAUAAUUGAGUUGAUGACAACUGUUGCCAAGGCACUUCAGGCAUGAGGGACAACAUAUCUGUUGUGUUCGGCUGGAUGAAAAAUUACAUUAUGAAGUUUUCAUUCACUCCCAUGCCAACAGAAGUUUUAGCUGCUAACAAGAAUAUUGCAUCACAGAAAAUAGCAAACUUGAUGACAACUGAUGCCAAGGCACUUCAGUUGCUGUGUAUGAGAGAGAAGAAGAGUUCAGAAAUUUUUUCUACAAAACCAACUACUUUCAAGCCAAAAUUGGAAGGUUGUUAUAAUUCCCGAUUUUGAUGAAGUUCCAGUAUAUUUUUCCUAACGAACGGAGCCUCAUGCAUGUUG